rnacentral:rRNA from 1 species
GACGAACGCUGGCGGCGUGCUUAACACAUGCAAGUCGAACGGUAAGGCCCUUCGGGGUACACGAGUGGCGAACGGGUGAGUAACACGGGGGUGAUCUGCCCUGCACUUCGGGAUAAGCCUGGGAAACUGGGUCUAAUACCGGAUAGGACUCCUGGCUUCCUGGUUGGGGGUGGAAAGCUUUUGCGGUGUGGGAUGGGCCCGCGGCCUAUCAGCUUGUUGGUGGGGUAAUGGCCUACCAAGGCGACGACGGGUAGCCGGCCUGAGAGGGUGACCGGUCACACUGGGACUGAGAUACGGCCCAGACUCCUACGGGGGGCAGCAGUGGGGAAUAUUGCACAAUGGGCGCAAGCCUGAUGCAGCGACGCCGCGUGAGGGAUGACGGCCUUCGGGUUGUAAACCUCUUUCAGCUAUGACGAAGCGCAAGUGACGGUAGUAGCAGAAGAAGGACCGGCCAACUACGUGCCAGCAGCCGCAGUAA